rnacentral:rRNA from 1 species
UACGUAGGGUGCAAGCGUUAAUCGGAAUUACUGGGCGUAAAGCGUGCGCAGGCGGUUUUGUAAGACAGGCGUGAAAUCCCCGGGCUCAACCUGGGAACUGCAUUUGUGACUGUAUAGCUAGAGUACGGUAGAGGGGGAUGGAAUUCCGCGUGUAGCAGUGAAAUGCGUAGAUAUGCGGAGGAACACCGAUGGCGAAGGCAAUCCCCUGGACCUGUACUGACGCUCAUGCACGAAAGCGUGGGGAGCAAACAGG